GAUGAACGCUGGCGGCGUGCCUAAUACAUGCAAGUCGAGCGAACAGAUGAGGAGCUUGCUCCUCUGACGUUAGCGGCGGACGGGUGAGUAACACGUGGAUAACCUACCUAUAAGACUGGGAUAACUUCGGGAAACCGGAGCUAAUACCGGAUAAUAUAUUGAACCGCAUGGUUCAAUAGUGAAAGACGGUUUUGCUGUCACUUAUAGAUGGAUGCGCGCCGCAUUAGCUAGUUGGUAAGGUAACGGCUUACCAAGGCAACGAUGCGUAGCCGACCUGAGAGGGUGAUCGGCCACACUGGAACUGAGACACGGUCCAGACUCCUACGGGAGGCAGCAGUAGGGAAUCUUCCGCAAUGGGCGAAAGCCUGACGGAGCAACGCCGCGUGAGUGAUGAAGGUCUUCGGAUCGUAAAACUCUGUUAUUAGGGAAGAACAAAUGUGUAAGUAACUAUGCACGUCUUGACGGUACCUAAUCAGAAAGCCACGGCUAACUACGUG
rnacentral:rRNA from 1 species